CAUACCUCAAGUGUUGCGUAAUGAGGUGUUGGACCAGAGUGGGACUUGAAUGUUGUUUACAGCUCUGCAACUAAUGUAGCCGUCUCACCAACUGCCCGAGGCAAUUUCCAGAAAAGAACAUGGUGUGGACUGUAAUUGCAAAUGUUUCUCUCUCAGACAGUCCGGGCAUCUCAAGCUCCAUUAGCUGAGCCAGGGCACGAUGUGAGACCGAACAACAAUGAGGUACAAUACUAUAAACCCAAGGUAUUUAUGGAGUACCACCUAGCAGAGAGCACACAGUGUUGAAAGGUGAUGCUCCUAUCUGGACUAUUCAGAUGCACAACUGCCAAGGAACUACGAGGCUCUAUUCAUCCAGUAUAUGAAGAGUCAGUCUCGACUUCCGUUGGUCCCCACUGUCUUUCCGCCACCAGUCAACAUCGGCCCAUCAACUAUCCCAACAAUCCAUCCAUUCCUUCCUUCAUCCUUCAUCACGUCAUCCCUUGACCGUCAUUUCUCAAUCCAUCCAAUAUCAUUCAUAAUAAUAAUACAUUAUCUUGGGUCACCUCCAUCUAUAUCAUACAAUAAAUUAUUGUAGAUCCAUA